GUUCAAACAAAACAGGUCUAACCAGGUUAUGCCUGUGUCUCAAGAACAGAGAGACGACCUGUUAAUGGAUGAGGAAUUGAUUUGGUGGUGACUGUUCUUUUCAGCUGAGAGACUGUUUCAGGAAGGAGCUAGAGAGAAAAAGACCAAGAUGCUGAAACUGGAAAGAAAGCACCACAGCGUGGACAAGAACAAGCUGAAGACUGCCAGUUACAGCUCCUCCAUUCCUUUAUCCGCUCUUCUCCUGCCUACGUUAGAUCAAAG